rnacentral:rRNA from 1 species
CCUANGGGAGGCAGCAGUAAGGAAUAUUGGGCAAUGGGCGCAAGCCUGACCCAGCCAUGCCGCGUGCAGGAUUGACGGCCCUAUGGGUUGUAAACUGCUUUUGUAUGGAAAAAAACCCCCGGUCGUGUACCGGGGUUGAUGUUACCAUAAGAAUAAGCAUCGGCUAACUCCGUGCCAGCAGCCGCGGUAAUACGGAGGAUGCAAGCGUUAUCCGGAUUCAUUGGGUUUAAAGGGUGCGCAGGCGGAACGGUAAGUCAGUGGUGAAAGCCUACAGCUCAACUGUAGAAUUGCCAUUGAUACUGUCGUUCUUGAGUAUAGUUGGAGUGUGCGGAAUGUAUCAUGUAGCGGUGAAAUGCUUAGAUAUGAUACAGAACACCAAUCGCGAAGGCAGCUCACUAAGCUAUAACUGACGCUCAUGCACGAAAGCGUGGGGAGCAAACAGGAUUAGAUACCCCUNUANUC